UACGUAGGGUGCGAGCGUUGUCCGGAAUUAUUGGGCGUAAAGAGCUCGUAGGCGGUUUGUUGCGUCGGCUGUGAAAUCCCGAGGCUCAACCUCGGGUCUGCAGUCGAUACGAGCAAACUAGAGUGUUGCAGGGGAGACUGGAAUUCCUGGUGUAGCGGUGGAAUGCGCAGAUAUCAGGAGGAACACCGGUGGCGAAGGCGGGUCUCUGGGCAACAACUGACGCUGAGGAGCGAAAGCGUGGGGAGCGAACAGG
rnacentral:rRNA from 1 species